CAGAAUUUGAUUUCGGUUCCCGUAUUUAUAAUGGGAGGGGAGGAGUUAGUUAGGAAUUCAAAAUUCGAAAUUCGAAUUUUGAAUUAUUUGUUGGAUGGUUGGAGGAUAUUUGGGGAGUGGUUGGGAAUUCAAAAUUCGAAAUUAAAUUUUGAAUGAGUUGUUGGAUAGUUGGAAGAUAUUUUGGGAGUGGUUGGGAAUUCAAAAUUCGAAAUUGAAUUUUGAAUAGGUUAUGGGAUGGUUGGAAGAUAUUUUGGGAAUUGGUUGGAGAUUCGAAAUUCGAAAUCGAAUUUUGAAUGGGUUGUUAGAGGAUAUUUUGGAAAUUGGUUGGGAAUUUGAAAUUCGAAUUCGAAAUCGAAUUUUGAAUGGAUUGUUGGAGGAUAUUUUGGAGUUGGUUGGGAAUUCGAAAUUCGAAUUCGAAAUCGAAUUUUGAAUGGAUUGUUGGAGAAUAUUUUGGAGUUGGUUGGGAAUUCGAAAUUCGAAAUUCGAAAUUCAAAUUUUGAAUGAGUUGUGAUUUGAAAUCGAAUUUCGAACAUAUAUUUUAUAGGGUGUGGAUGUGGGCCGUCAUUGAUUAGACCCGUUUUAAUUUAUUGGGCUCAAAUGAUAAUAUUUAAUGGGCUGAAAUGAGGCCCUUUGUUUGCAUGGGCUUU
rnacentral:lncRNA from 1 species